GGAUCCUAAGAAAAUAAAUAUAACUGCGUAAAUGCAUCUCAUUCUGAUUUUAGUUGUUUGUGGCGAACACAGUGAAGUCUGGCACGACCUCCGAAAAUCAUAAAAGUAAAAAACAGAUAGUAUGAAAGGACAAUUAAAAAUCGCUGGUAAAAGUAGAAAUUUUCGUUUGAAAAAUAUAUUGGUCAGGUGAGCAAUUGUGAUCUGUCUCGUCUCACUUUGCGUCCGUCUGUCCGCCCGUCUAUCUGUAGAUUGUUGUCAGGUGUAGAUUAAGGUGGUUUCAGCUUGAAACUUUAAUUUCUCGCUAAUUUUACCACAC
rnacentral:lncRNA from 1 species